rnacentral:tRNA from 1 species
UUAGAAAAAUGGGCAUCGAACCCAUAACUGAGAAAUCAAAAUUCUCCGUAAUUCCAUUUUACUACUCUCU